AGCAUUUUUUUUAUCCGUGCUGAGAUUUCGUCACACACCAGACCACAUGGGCUGAUGAGACUCACCAGAUUAGUGAAGCA
rnacentral:pre_miRNA from 1 species